rnacentral:lncRNA from 1 species
GGAGGAGGAGCGUUUCAAAAGCUUUGGUGGGGAUGGGGGUGGGAAUACGAAGGAGAGGAAUUUGAGUCUGUGUGUUUUGACUGAGGCAGACUGUAAAAGAGUAGGUUAACUUUAGUAAAUAGGUAUAAAACGGUAAAAAAAAAAAAAAAAACAUAAAGAUUAAUUUUGUAUUUAAAAAAAAAUCCAAAAAAAUUGGGAGGUGGGAGUUGGAAUUGGGGAGGUACAGGGAGUAACUCCCAUUCUUUUUCCAGCAACCCAUAAAACCCUUAAUCCCCCAGAUACCCUUUAGUGAAAUCAGGUUUAAACCACUAAUUCCCUAAAUACCCUUUCUUAAAAUUAGGUUACCAUUUGUUAUAAUUAGGUUUAAAACCUUAAUCCUAUCGCCCUCACCCUUCAUCCCCUCACAAUGAGUUUUCAUUGUUCC